UCUGGGGCACUUUCUAGGCCCUCACUUAGUGUUUGUUUCUCAUUGUGGCCAUCGUCAUUAAUUCAUCAAUGCUUGGAUAUUUUGGUUGUUUCAAAGUGAGCUUUUCAACAAUCUAAUCCACGGCAAUAUUCAUACUCAUUUGAACAACGAAAGUUCUCCCCGUGCCUGCGUUAUUGAUUGGAUGAGAGAGGGGUUGGGGCUUCCCAGUUUGAUUGGUCGUUACGCGACAUCCCAACCAACAUUUUGAUUUGAAAAAAACUAAAUUUGAAAAAAACGAAGCAAAGAGGUGAUCGACAUUUCCGUGACUGCUGAAAAACGACCUGGAUUUGUGUUUUUUAACGAAAUGGUGUAGAAAUUUGGAAUAAAAAAAUUGUUUCAUUAU